rnacentral:misc_RNA from 1 species
AAGUCGUAACAAGGUUUCCGUAGGUGAACCUGCGGAAGGAUCAUUCAAGAAAUUGAAUUUUGGCGAACAAAAUUGUAGCCAAAAAUUCAUGUUGAUUUCAUUCAACAAUUAUUGUUGCAAUCUUUUUUGUUGGCUGGGUUGGGUGAUUGUUGGUUUACUUGAUGCUUUCUUGCAUUGAGCAAAACUUGCUUUCGCCUGGAAAACCAUUUUCCCAGCCAUUAUGCCAGGGGGGAUUGAAGUUGAUUUUUCUACAUAAAAUAAUGAAAAAAAUUGUUUAAUACAACUUUUAGCAAUGGAUCUCUUGGCUCAU